GACGAACGCUGGCGGCGUGCUUAACACAUGCAAGUCGAACGCUGAAGCUUGGUGCUUGCACUGGGUGGAUGAGUGGCGAACGGGUGAGUAAUACGUGAGUAACCUGCCCUUGACUCUGGGAUAAGCCUGGGAAACUGGGUCUAAUACUGGAUAUGACAUGCCACUGCAUGGUGGUGUGUGGAAAGGGUUUUACUGGUUUUGGAUGGGCUCACGGCCUAUCAGCUUGUUGGUGAGGUAAUGGCUCACCAAGGCGACGACGGGUAGCCGGCCUGAGAGGGCGACCGGCCACACUGGGACUGAGACACGGCCCAGACUCCUACGGGAGGCAGCAGUGGGGAAUAUUGCACAAUGGGCGAAAGCCUGAUGCAGCGACGCCGCGUGAGGGAUGACGGCCUUCGGGUUGUAAACCUCUUUCAGCAGGGAAGAAGCGAAAGUGACGGUACCUGCAGAAGAAGCACCGGCUAACUACGUG
rnacentral:rRNA from 1 species